GUGGAGAGGGAGCAGCAGCAGGAGAGCAUUAAGGAGAUCAGCACUAGGCUGCAAGAACUUCAGGACAAAGAGUAUGAAUAUCUUGUGAUGAAGAGCCUUAAUGAGACUCAAGGAAAUAAAUGUGAAGACUUAAACCAGCAGUUGGAGGCCCAGAAGUCAAGUCUGGAAAAGGUGGAAAUGCAGAAUGUAAACUUGACUCAGAGACUUAAUGAAACCCUUGAAGAAAUGAAAUCCGUAGCAAAGGAAAGAGAUGAGCUUCGCAGUGUGGAGGAGCGCCUCACAGCAGACAGAGACCAGUUGAAGAAGAGCCUUGAAGAGACAAUAACUAAAGUGAGUGCCAUUUCUGGCAUUGUGCAACCUUCAUGUCCUGAAGGCCACUGGGCUUCAGGGUGGGCAG
rnacentral:lncRNA from 1 species